rnacentral:rRNA from 1 species
UACAGAGGGUGCAAGCGUUGUUCGGAAUUAUUGGGCGUAAAGCGCGUGUAGGCGGCUUUGCAAGUCGGGUGUGAAAGCCCUCAGCUUAACUGAGGAAGUGCGCCCGAAACUGCAGAGCUCGAGUGCCGAAGAGGGUGGCGGAAUUCCCCAAGUAGAGGUGAAAUUCGUAGAUAUGGGGAGGAACACCGGUGGCGAAGGCGACUACCUGGCCUGUUCUUGACGCUGAGGCGCGAAAGCUAGGGGAGCAAACGGG